AUUGAACGCCGGCGGCAGGCCUAACACAUGCAAGUCGAGCGGGGUUUUCGGACCUAGCGGCGGACGGGUGAGUAGUGCGUAGGAAGCUACCCGAUAGAGGGGGAUACCAGUUGGAAACGACUGUUAAUACCGCAUAAUGUCUACGGACCAAAGUGUGGGACCUUCGGGCCACAUGCUAUCGGAUGCGCCUACGUGGGAUUAGCUAGUUGGUGAGGUAAUGGCUCACCAAGGCGGCGAUCCCUAGCUGGUUUGAGAGGAUGAUCAGCCACACUGGAACUGAGACACGGUCCAGACUCCUACGGGAGGCAGCAGUGGGGAAUAUUGGACAAUGGGCGCAAGCCUGAUCCAGCCAUGCCGCGUGUGUGAAGAAGGCCUUCGGGUUGUAAAGCACUUUCAGUUGGGAGGAAGGGUUGUGUGUUAAUAGUACACAGCCUUGACGUUACCAACAGAAGAAGCACCGGCUAACUCUGUGCCAGCCGCCGCCGUAACAC
rnacentral:rRNA from 1 species